rnacentral:rRNA from 1 species
GUUAGGAAUAUUGGACAAUGGGCGAAAGCCUGAUCCAGCCAUGCCGCGUGAACGAUGAAGGCCUUCGGGUUGUAAAGUUCUUUAGCCGAUGAUUAUAAUGACUGUAGUCGGAAAAUAAGCCCCGGCUAACUUCGUGCCAGCAGCCGCGGUAAUACGAAGGGGGCGAGCGUUAUUCGGAAUCACUGGGCGUAAAGCGUGCGUAGGCGGUUUUGUAAGUUAGGAGUGAAAGCCCAGGGCUCAACCUUGGAAUUGCUCUUAAAACUGCAAGGCUCGAAUCUCGGAGAGGAUAGCGGAAUUUCCAGUGUAGCAGUGAAAUGCGUAGAUAUUGGCAGGAACACCAGUGGCGUAAGCGGCUAUCUGGACGAGUAUUGACGCUGAGGCACGAAAGCGUGGGGAUCAAACAGGAUUAGAUACCCAGUAGUCC